rnacentral:tRNA from 1 species
GUAGAUUUAGUUUAAAAAAAACACCUGACUUGCAAUCAAGAGACCUAGGCUAACCCCUAGAAUCCACA